GACCUGAGAGGGUGAUCGGCCACACUGGGACUGAGACACGGCCCAGACUCCUACGGGAGGCAGCAGUAGGGAAUCUUCCGCAAUGGACGAAAGUCUGACGGAGCAACGCCGCGUGAGUGAUGAAGGUUUUCGGAUCGUAAAACUCUGUUGUUAGGGAAGAACAAGUACCGGAGUAACUGCCGGUACCUUGACGGUACCUAACCAGAAAGCCACGGCUAACUACGUGCCAGCAGCCGCGGUAAUACGUAGGUGGCAAGCGUUGUCCGGAAUUAUUGGGCGUAAAGCGCGCGCAGGCGGUUCCUUAAGUCUGAUGUGAAAGCCCCCGGCUCAACCGGGGAGGGUCAUUGGAAACUG
rnacentral:rRNA from 1 species